UUCAGAAUACCAUUUUUUCCAUUUUCACUCCCCCCCACCUUCUCCAUUCCACCUCCCCUCUCCGUUUUCAAACACAAUCCGCCCCGUUCUCCGGCAUCAUUUCCCCGACACCGCCAGUGCGCCGCCCGUCUACCACCGCCAGUGCAUCGGUAAUGAUUUCGUUUUUCUUUUUUCUCUGUUUUACAUAUAUUAUUUUUUUUCUUAAUAUCUAAUUUUUUUCUCCAUCUUUAAAGUUUGGGAUAAAUAAUCUGUGGGGAAGAAAUUUCUGAGUAAAACGCCGGGAUCGGUUGGUGUACUAAAUAUUUGGAGAUGACAAUCGACAAGUCUUGGACCACAGCAACAACCUGUGUAUGGUCAAAUGGGAGGAUCUCCACAACAGCCUAUGUAUGGAGGCUUUUUCAGUGCUCAGAGUCAGCAACAACAGCAACAACCAAUUUUGGUUCGCCCCCACCCUCGACAAUAUGUGGAGAUCUUGCCUACGCCGCAGACUGGACAACCUUAUUACCCUGUCCCGCCGGCUCAAUCCCGUGAGAAUAUUGAUGGUUCAAGACUUAGCUCAAAUGCAGACGAAUUUUUAGAAUUUACUGAUUUGAACAAUGAUAGUUAGGUUUUUUUUAAUUAUGUGUUAUGUUUUAAAGUUUAUUUAAAGACAAUUUCCUAAUUUUAUUUAAGAUAAUAUAAUUUUUAUUGUAAUGGACAAAUUAAUUUUAAUACUUAAUUUCUUAAUUAAUGUUUAA